UACGAAGGGGGCUAGCGUUGUUCGGAAUUACUGGGCGUAAAGGGCGCGUAGGCGCCUUCUAAGUCGAACGUGAAAUCCCUGGGCUCAACCCAGGAACUGCGUCCGAUACUGGAAGGCUUGAAUCCGGGAGAGGGAUGCGGAAUUCCAGGUGUAGCGGUGAAAUGCGUAGAUAUCUGGAGGAACACCGGUGGCGAAGGCGGCAUCCUGGACCAUAUUGACGCUGAGGAGCGAAAGCCAGGGGAGCAAACGGG
rnacentral:rRNA from 1 species